UACGAAGGGUGCAAGCGUUAAUCGGAAUUACUGGGCGUAAAGCGUGCGUAGGCGGUGACUUAAGUCUGUUGUGAAAUCCCCGGGCUCAACCUGGGAAUGGCAAUGGAUACUGGGGUCGCUAGAGUGUGAUAGAGGAUGGUGGAAUUCCCGGUGUAGCGGUGAAAUGCGUAGAUAUCGGGGAGGAACACCAGUGGCGAAGGGCGACUUUCUGGGCUGGUUCCCUGACGCUG
rnacentral:rRNA from 1 species